rnacentral:lncRNA from 10 species
CUCUGCAGCAGAAAGCUGAAGUCCCCAGUCAGCCACGUGCCACCAGGAUCCACUGCUCUCUGCGAGCACUGACCAUGCUGCCAGGUGAUUUUGCUGCCGAGUGAUUUUGCCCAGCUGUGGCCUAGGUCAGAGUUCUGAGCAAGUCGAAGGGGCAUGCAACUCCUUGCAGUUACCCAGCUACCAGAGCAUCUCUUGAACAAUUUUGUUGUUGGAAGUUCAUAGUGUCAGACGCCAGCACACUUGCAACGCACGAAAAUGAGGUAGUUCACGACGCCGUGUUUGUGCUGCCUCGGCCGCCCCAGCCUCCGGGGCCCUCCUGGCUGGAUGCAGCUCAGCCAUCAGCGUCAGGCUGUGUUCUGAAAAAUCAGAGGACACUGUGCUUUGCUUUCAUCUGAGAAGAUAAUAAAUAAAUCAGGAACUCGGAAAAUUUCAAAGUCAUGACUGAUUGUACUGCCUGAUACUUGCCAUUUCUCUUGGGUUUACUGUACAUGUGACCAGUGCCACCAGGCAGCCACAAUCUUGUCUGUGGGUGAGAGAG